GACGAACCGUGCGAACGUUGUUCGGAUUCACUGGGCUUAAAGGGCGCGUAGGCGGGCGAGCGAGUCCGGGGUGAAAUCUUUCGGCUUAACCGGAAAAGGGCCUCGGAUACCGGUCGUCUGGAGGGAGGUAGGGGCAGCUGGAACUUCCGGUGGAGCGGUGAAAUGCGUUGAUAUCGGAAGGAACGCCGGUGGCGAAAGCGAGCUGCUGGACCUCUUCUGACGCUGAGGCGCGAAAGCCAGGGGAGCGAACGGG
rnacentral:rRNA from 1 species